rnacentral:rRNA from 1 species
AACAGGAUUAGAUACCCUGGUAGUCCACGCCCUAAACGAUGUCUACUAGUUGUCGGGUUUUAAUUAACUUGGUAACGCAGCUAACGCGUGAAGUAGACCGCCUGGGGAGUACGGUCGCAAGAUUAAAACUCAAAGGAAUUGACGGGGACCCGCACAAGCGGUGGAUGAUGUGGAUUAAUUCGAUGCAACGCGAAAAACCUUACCUACCCUUGACAUGGAAGGAAUCCUCGAGAGAUUGAGGAGUGCCCGAAAGGGAACCUUCACACAGGUGCUGCAUGGCUGUCGUCAGCUCGUGUCGUGAGAUGUUGGGUUAAGUCCCGCAACGAGCGCAACCCUUGUCAUUAGUUGCUACGCAAGAGCACUCUAAUGAGACUGCCGGUGACAAACCGGAGGAAGGUGGGGAUGACGUCAAGUCCUCAUGGCCCUUAUGGGUAGGGCUUCACACGUCAUACAAUGGUACAUACAGAGGGCCGCCAACCCGCGAGGGGGAGCUAAUCCCAGAAAGUGUAUCGUAGUCCGGAUUGUAGUCUGCAACUCGACUACAUGAAGUUGGAAUCGCUAGUAAUCGCGGAUCAGCAUGUCGCGGUGAAUACGUUCCCGGGUCUUGUACACACCGCCCGUCACACCAUGGGAGCGGGUUUUACCAGAAGUAGGUAGCUUAACCGCAAGGAGGGCGCUUACCACGGUAGGAUUCGUGACUGGGGUGAAGUCGUAACAAGGUAACC